GUGCAGUUUCUGAUCUGCUGGAAACCCUCUACCUUUCACUUUAACGACUGUGUCAUCCAUAAAUGCAGCUAAGGAGCAACUGAACCAGCUACAUCCCCUCCUGCAGUGAUGUGUUCAGGUUGGAGAGGAAGUGCCAUCUUAUGCCAUCUAGGUGCAACGUCAUUCUUUGCUGUCUGGGUGGUGAUACUGCUAAGGACUUUUUUUCUUCCCUCCUGCCUCCAAAGGGUGAAGCCUGACCCCUUGAGUAUUCUGUUCAUUUGGGGAUGUGCUGGAACAUGAAUAUCAACAAGCAGGUUUUAUUGGCACUUGGGAGUCAACGUGGUGCCCCGGAGUGAGGGAUGGGAGGAAGCAUCCUGAACGUUCAGUAAAUACUAUAAUGAAAUGAUUCACUGUUGGCAAAGAGCUCUCUCUCAGCAAAUAAGGUCUGCAAAUAACAUCUUUGAGAAGGCCAUAAUCCCAGCCACAGAUGAUAAUAAUCAGCCUCCCAGU